rnacentral:rRNA from 1 species
GGUUAAGCGACUAAGCGUACACGGUGGAUGCCCUGGCAGUCAGAGGCGAUGAAGGACGUGCUAAUCUGCGAUAAGCGUCGGUGAGGUGAUAUGAACCGUUAUAACCGGCGAUUUCCGAAUGGGGAAACCCAGUGUGUUUCGACACACUAUCAUUAACUGAAUCCAUAGGUUAAUGAGGCGAACCGGGGGAACUGAAACAUCUAAGUACCCCGAGGAAAAGAAAUCAACCGAGAUUCCCCCAGUAGCGGCGAGCGAACGGGGAGGAGCCCAGAGCCUGAAUCAGUGUGUGUGUUAGUGGAAGCGUCUGGAAAGGCGUGCGAUACAGGGUGACAGCCCCGUACACAAAAAUGCACAUACUGUGAGCUCGAUGAGUAGGGCGGGACACGUGGUAUCCUGUCUGAAUAUGGGGGGACCAUCCUCCAAGGCUAAAUACUCCUGACUGACCGAUAGUGAACCAGUACCGUGAGGGAAAGGCGAAAAGAACCCCGGCGAGGGGAGUGAAAAAGAACCUGAAACCGUGUACGUACAAGCAGUGGGAGCCUCUUAAUGGGGUGACUGCGUACCUUUUGUAUAAUGGGUCAGCGACUUAUAUUCUGUAGCAAGGUUAACCGAAUAGGGGAGCCGAAGGGAAACCGAGUCUUAACUGGGCGCUAAGUUGCAGGGUAUAGACCCGAAACCCGGUGAUCUAGCCAUGGGCAGGUUGAAGGUUGGGUAACACUAACUGGAGGACCGAACCGACUAAUGUUGAAAAAUUAGCGGAUGACUUGUGGCUGGGGGUGAAAGGCCAAUCAAACCGGGAGAUAGCUGGUUCUCCCCGAAAGCUAUUUAGGUAGCGCCUCGUGAAUUCAUCUCCGGGGGUAGAGCACUGUUUCGGCAAGGGGGUCAUCCCGACUUACCAACCCGAUGCAAACUGCGAAUACCGGAGAAUGUUAUCACGGGAGACACACGGCGGGUGCUAACGUCCGUCGUGAAGAGGGAAACAACCCAGACCGCCAGCUAAGGUCCCAAAGUCAUGGUUAAGUGGGAAACGAUGUGGGAAGGCCCAGACAGCCAGGAUGUUGGCUUAGAAGCAGCCAUCAUUUAAAGAAAGCGUAAUAGCUCACUGGUCGAGUCGGCCUGCGCGGAAGAUGUAACGGGGCUAAACCAUGCACCGAAGCUGCGGCAGCGACACUAUGUGUUGUUGGGUAGGGGAGCGUUCUGUAAGCCUGUGAAGGUGGCCUGUGAGGGUUGCUGGAGGUAUCAGAAGUGCGAAUGCUGACAUAAGUAACGAUAAAGCGGGUGAAAAGCCCGCUCGCCGGAAGACCAAGGGUUCCUGUCCAACGUUAAUCGGGGCAGGGUGAGUCGACCCCUAAGGCGAGGCCGAAAGGCGUAGUCGAUGGGAAACAGGUUAAUAUUCCUGUACUUGGUGUUACUGCGAAGGGGGGACGGAGAAGGCUAUGUUGGCCGGGCGACGGUUGUCCCGGUUUAAGCGUGUAGGCUGGUUUUCCAGGCAAAUCCGGAAAACCAAGGCUGAGGCGUGAUGACGAGGCACUACGGUGCUGAAGCGACAAAUGCCCUGCUUCCAGGAAAAGCCUCUAAGCAUCAGGUAACAUCAAAUCGUACCCCAAACCGACACAGGUGGUCAGGUAGAGAAUACCAAGGCGCUUGAGAGAACUCGGGUGAAGGAACUAGGCAAAAUGGUGCCGUAACUUCGGGAGAAGGCACGCUGAUAUGUAGGUGAAGCGACUUGCUCGUGGAGCUGAAAUCAGUCGAAGAUACCAGCUGGCUGCAACUGUUUAUUAAAAACACAGCACUGUGCAAACACGAAAGUGGACGUAUACGGUGUGACGCCUGCCCGGUGCCGGAAGGUUAAUUGAUGGGGUUAGCGGUAACGCGAAGCUCUUGAUCGAAGCCCCGGUAAACGGCGGCCGUAACUAUAACGGUCCUAAGGUAGCGAAAUUCCUUGUCGGGUAAGUUCCGACCUGCACGAAUGGCGUAAUGAUGGCCAGGCUGUCUCCACCCGAGACUCAGUGAAAUUGAACUCGCUGUGAAGAUGCAGUGUACCCGCGGCAAGACGGAAAGACCCCGUGAACCUUUACUAUAGCUUGACACUGAACAUUGAGCCUUGAUGUGUAGGAUAGGUGGGAGGCUUUGAAGUGUGGACGCCAGUCUGCAUGGAGCCGACCUUGAAAUACCACCCUUUAAUGUUUGAUGUUCUAACGUUGGCCCCUAAUCGGGGUUGCGGACAGUGUCUGGUGGGUAGUUUGACUGGGGCGGUCUCCUCCUAAAGAGUAACGGAGGAGCACGAAGGUUGGCUAAUCCUGGUCGGACAUCAGGAGGUUAGUGCAAUGGCAUAAGCCAGCUUGACUGCGAGCGUGACGGCGCGAGCAGGUGCGAAAGCAGGUCAUAGUGAUCCGGUGGUUCUGAAUGGAAGGGCCAUCGCUCAACGGAUAAAAGGUACUCCGGGGAUAACAGGCUGAUACCGCCCAAGAGUUCAUAUCGACGGCGGUGUUUGGCACCUCGAUGUCGGCUCAUCACAUCCUGGGGCUGAAGUAGGUCCCAAGGGUAUGGCUGUUCGCCAUUUAAAGUGGUACGCGAGCUGGGUUUAGAACGUCGUGAGACAGUUCGGUCCCUAUCUGCCGUGGGCGCUGGAGAACUGAGGGGGGCUGCUCCUAGUACGAGAGGACCGGAGUGGACGCAUCACUGGUGUUCGGGUUGUCAUGCCAAUGGCACUGCCCGGUAGCUAAAUGCGGAAGAGAUAAGUGCUGAAAGCAUCUAAGCACGAAACUUGCCCCGAGAUGAGUUCUCCCUGAGACUUAGAGUCUCCUGAAGGAACGUUGAAGACGACGACGUUGAUAGGCCGGGUGUGUAAGCGCAGCGAUGCGUUGAGCUAACCGGUACUAAUGAACCGUGAGGCUUAACCUU